CUCUCCUCACCCCUAUCGUUCUAUCGUCUUUUGUUCUACGAAUAUCUUCCCAGUUCUCAUUGCCUUUCCCGCUCUUAUGGCGUGAGGUGCUGCAUUUAUUUGCCUCUAUAAAAAAAAAUCUUCACUCGCAAAAUGUGCCAAGCGAAAAUCGGUCUGUCUAUCGCAACGGCUAUACUGAGUGUCGUUGCGAUAGGCCUGGGAGUCGCAGUAGGACUACUUCUCGACAAAAGCUUUCAAGACAGUGAG
rnacentral:lncRNA from 1 species